GGAAGUAAAAGUCGUAACAAGAUUUCCGUAGGUGAACCUGCGGAAGGAUCAUUAAUGAGUUGUCAUGGGGUUCGAUGCUGGCAGCCAAUUUUUGGAUGCAUGUGCUUGCCCUAACAAUCAUCUUCCAAACACCAGUGCACAUUUUUGAGGGAGUCUUGAGUUGGUUGCCGCUCUUGGGUGAUUUUCUCACAUUCCCUUAAAUCAUUAUACGCUAUUAACAAUGUUGAACGUGCUCUGUGCCGCAAGGCUAUUAAUAUAAUACAACUUUUAACAACGGAUCUCUUGGCUCUC
rnacentral:misc_RNA from 1 species